UACAAAAUGACCUGAAAACGGGAAAUUUGGCCAAAAGUAGGAAAUUUCGAGGGUGAGAGGCACGUCGGGAAUUGAAGGCGAAAGAUAGGCGGAUUCACAGGGUACUUUCCGCUGCUGGAGUUAGCAUCAAGCCUGGUUUAUGUGGUGCUCCAGACUAAAUCCACCUAGGGCUUACUGCAUAUUCAACGGGGUUUCUGUGUAUCCUUGGCUGUUCUGAACUCUGUAGACCAGGCUGGUUUUGAACUCAGAAACCCGCCAGGCGUUCCCCACCACCAAAUGCCUUCAUAAUUUUAUGUGUACCAAAUGUGUGCUGGUAGUGCCUAUGAAGGCCAGAAGAUGAAGGUAUUGGGAGCCCUGAAACUGGAAUUCCAGGUGGUUGUGAGCUGCCUGAUGUGAGUGCUGGGAAUCCUCUGCAACUGCCAAGCCAUCUGUAGAUCUUCAAGUGAACUUUGAAAUCAAGUCAUGGGCUAGAGAACAGGCUCAGCCGUUAAGAGCACUGGCUGCCCUUCCAGAGAUCCUGAGUUCAAUUCCCAGCAACCACAUGGUGGCUCACAACCAUCUGUAAUGGGAUCUGAUACCCUCUUCUGGCAUAAAGUCAAUGGAGCACUCUUACACAUAAAAUAAAUAUUUUUUUAAAGCCAUAAUUAUUGCCUUAUUAUUUAUUGAGACAGAGUCUUAUUAUGUAGCUCUGGCUGUCCUAGGACUAAAUACAUAGUGACACGUAGUACAUGUAGGCUGGCCUUGAGCUCAGAGAUCACAUGUGCUCCAGUGCUGUGUACUACCAUGCCUUAGCUAAAACAAGCUGACAUGUGGCUAGCAACCUAACUAGCAUUAAAUGUUUCACUUCUCCCUAAACUUUGACAUGCUCUUGAAGGUCCAAGAUAUUUCUAGAACCACACCAAACACUCAGUUCUUCCCAGCACUAAAUUUAGAGACUAAGGCAAAAGGACCAUGAGUUUGAGACCAAUAGGGAGACCCUAUAUCAAAAGCAAAAACCAGGGAUGGCUAUGCAGACCUGAAAUCUCAACACUUGGGAGAUCAGUUUAAGGUCAUCCUCAGCUGUAUAGUUAGUAUGUAUCCUGGGUUACAUGAGACUGUCUCAGACAAGUCACACACUUUCCAUGACCACUUGUGAAACGUCCUCACACUCCAUCUCUUUCUCUUUUUUGAAGCACUGGGAAGGUAUUGAACCUAGGUCCUCAAGCAUCUGUAUACAUCUGAUCUCAUGUAUUAUACCUCAGGCUGGUCUAGAGCUUGCUGCACACCUGCAGGUGACUUUAUUGGGCUGGUCAGAUAGCUCAAUGGGUAAAGGCACCUACCUGCCUGAUGAUCUGGGCUCAAUCCUGGGUCCCACAUGGUGGAAAGAAAACCUGAUUCCUGCAAAUUGUCCUUUGAUCUUCACAGAGGCACACAAAGUAAAAUGUAAUAAAAACUUAGAUGUAUGUUAUGAAUAUUCUGCCUCCAUGUAUAUGUACCACAUGUGUGCCUGGUACCCAGGGAGGUCAGCAAAGGGUGUAGGAUCCCUUGGAGCUGAAGUUAUGGAUGGUUCUGAGCCAGUGUAGGUGCUGGCAACUGAACCCAGGUCCUCUGCAAGAACAAGUGCUCUGUAACUGCUAAACCAGCUCUCCAAUUACCAUAUACUGUGCUUUUGGCUUGUUUUCUUACAAACUGUCUUUUUUUUUUUUUAUUUUUUGGUUUUUUCAAGACAGGGUUUCUCUGUGUAGCUUUGCGCCUUUCCUGGUACUCGCUCUGGAGACCAGGCUGGCCUCGAACUCACAGAGAUCCACCUGCCUCUGCCUCCCGAGUGCUGGGAUUAAAGGCGUGCGCCACCACCGCCCGGCCACAGACUGUCUUUUAAACAUUUAUUUACUUAGUGGGAUUAGGAAUUAACUCAGUAAAGGCCCUGGUUUUUAGUCCUCAGCUCUGAAAGAAAAAUAAUUUGUAUAGGCAUGAGUGCAGGCACUUCGGCCACCACAUACCUACGAAGUUAGAAGAUAUCUUCCAGAAAUCAGUUCUCUUUCACAUUGUGAGGCAGGUGAUAGACGAACAGACCAGUUUACUCUCUGCCCAGGAGUACAUCCAGCUUUCUGGGUCUCUGGCAGAAAAUUCAUAUCAUCUGGCUUGUGUGGCAAGUAUAAACUGAUCCUCCUGCCUCCAUCUCCAGUGUUUUAGGAAUUACAGGAAUGUAUCCAUCACACCUUUUUGCUUGGGGACCAAAUCCAGGACUUCUGAUUUAUGCACACUAGGCAAUCAGUCUACCAAAUGGGGUGUGUGUGUGUGUGUUUUUUGGUUUUUCGAGACAGGGUUUCUCUGUGUAGCUUUGCGCCUUUUCCUGGAACUCACUUGGUAGCCCAGGCUGGCCUUGAACUCACAGAGAUCCGCCUGGGUCUGCCUCCCGAGUGCUGGGAUUAAAGGCGUGCGCCACCACCGCCCAGCCCGUGUGUGUGUGUGUGUGUGUGUGUGUGUGUGUGUGUGUGUCUUUAUGUAUAUAUCCUUAGCCACUUAAACCCCAUUUCUUUCCUCUUUGGUUUUUUAGAGACAGGGUUCCUCUGUAGCUUUGGAGCCUGUCCUGGAACUCACUCUGUAGACCUAGCUGGUCUGGAACUCAGAGAUCUGCCUGCCUCUGCCUCCCCACUGCUGGGAUUAAAGGUGUGUUCCACCACUGGGCUUUAAAAUCUAUUUCUUUUUUUUUUUUUUUUUGAUUUAUUUAUUAUGUAUACAGCAUGUACACAUGCAGGCCAGAAGAGGGUAUCAGAUCUUACUACAGAUAGAUGGUUGUGAGCCACCAUGUGGCUGCUGAGAAUUGAACUCAGGACCUCUGGAAGAGCAGUCAGUGCUCUUAACCUCUGAGCCAUC